rnacentral:tRNA from 1 species
GGGGGUGUAGCUCAGUUGGGAGAGCGCCACAUUUGCACUGUGGAGGUCAUCGGUUCGACCCCGUUCACCUCCACCA